rnacentral:lncRNA from 1 species
AUGAAUUAGCAGGUAUCGCUUUAUGGUGGGAGAUACAUGGCGGUGGCUUGCAGUACACUGUGAAAACAACAGUGGUGAUCCCUAAUACAAAACAAGGGCAAUUAAUUUCAACAUCCCUUAUCUUAUCUUGUAGAUCUCACAAGCCAUUUCCAAGCAGGGUUUCGCCUCUCCAUUUCCUAUGCGCAGCGCUGCUGCAUGGCUAUACUUCAAAAAUCUAUAAUUCAAAACUUCCCAACACUGAAUACGCUUUCCACGCGGGGUCUUUUCAUAAUUGGUUUUUCCAACCGGUCUGUUCUGUGAUGUGUAAUUGUUAGCAGUUGUAAAAAAGAUAACUCAGUUUUUAAAAGCCUAGCGUUUGCUCUGAGCAGAUAAAAACUGUGACAAAUUAUGUUCCAAAAAAAUCAUAAAAGUGGAAAGACAUGUUAAUAACCAAAGGUGAAGUUUCAUUUGGAGGUCAGCAGGAGCUAUUAAAGUGGUCAGUAAUUCUAGGGCUUGCUAGUAGUGAUUUUGACCAUAUCACUUAUCUACUCUGGUCCAUGCUUAAAAAUCUCCCUUGGUGGAAAAAAAUAAUAAUCCACUGAGAGUAAUGCAGGAGGUCAGGGAUGACCGUGGAGAAAAGCAAUCUAGUCAAAAUAAACCAUGCUUUCAAGUGCAGACAUUCAAAUUCCCACUCCAUUAAAAUGUUUCAACUCUUGGCCAUUUCGCCAUAGUGUUCAGACACCUCAUUUUUUAAAAAAUUACUUCAAAUAUCUGGAGAGAACACAUAGCUAUAAAUGUAAUGUGGAAUAAUUAAGACAGUCCUGGCACCCUUUCUAAGUCCCAAAAGCAAUUUGGAAGGAGGGGGGGAGAACCAAUGGGAGGCGAAGCCAGCAUGCUGCAGAGAAAUUAAAUAAUAUUGAGAAUCAGGAAAUGUGCAACGGCCGCUUCAGGUGGCCUUUGAUGAUUUCAAGUGAACAUCCCAAUGAUUUCAUAAGAACAUUAAGGGAAACUCUGCUGGAUCAGUUGCUUCUGGUUCAGCAUCCUCUUCACACAGUGGCCAACCUGUUGGCUCCAGUAAACCCACAAGGAAGGAAUCAAAGCAGGAACCCUCUCCCACUGUUGCCCACACAACUCAGUGGCCAAGCAUCUGCUUUGCAUGCAGAAGGUCCCUGGUCCAAUAUCUGGCACCUCCAGGUAUGGCUGGGACAGAACUCUGCCUGAAACCCGGAGAGCCACUUCCAGUCAUUGUAAGUGAUGGACCAAAGAUCUGACCCAAUGUAGGGUACAUAUUUGCCUAUGAUUUCUUUCUUUCUAACUGGUAUUCAGUGACACUGUGUGGCAGCUCUGAACUUAUAGGUUUCAUUGAGCUAAGUUGUGUUCCAGCAUUUGCCAGACAUUUUGGACUGCAGUCUCCAUCAUCUCCAACUAGCAUGGCUGUGUUGCAUUCCAAAAUAAUACGAGGGCACCAGGAUGGUGGAGGCAGCUGUAUUCUUAUAGCAAACUUAUUUUCCAUACAUAGGCCAAAAGAGCACCAUCUACAGAGAAGAAGGCGGUAUUAGCAGACUUGGGGAGAACCUACAGUUUGCAGAAGUACAAAAAACUUUUCAAAGCCAUCUUAAGCCAGAGGCCAUAACCACAUCCAGUGGCAGUGAAUUCCACAAGUGAAUUAUCUGUGGAGGUGAAAUGUUAAUUUCAUUUGUCUUUCCUGAAUCCUAGUGCCAAACCAUUCAGUUGGAGGACCCCAAGUUUUAAUUGUAUAAGGUGGCAAGAAAAAUCUUUCUAUUUCUCUCUCUGCUUUCUCCCCACCAUGCAUAAUUCCAUUGACCUCUGUUUUAUAAUACUAAAAUGUGGGGAUCAGCAAAUGCAGCAUAGCAGCGGCAGGUUCAAAGCUCAGAAAAGAACUCUGAACAUCAGUUUUUUAAAGACAAUGUGAGUGCUAUUGUUGGCUUCCCAUUGGGUGAUCUGCUGGGGACUGUGGGAACAGGAUAUUACUAUAGAGAGCCCUAUGUUCUGAUUAAGCAGUGCUCUUCUUAUGCCUUAGCUACCUGGAGCUGUGCUGAGCAUCUGCUUGCUCACAAAAGCAAUGGGGUGCUGGGAGCUUCAGGAGCACCUCCAUGGGGGACCCAAGUAACAGUGGGCCCUGGGGUGUGUGUGUUGGGGUGCACCAAAUGCAGCCUUACUCAGCCUCAGUCCCUCCAGAACUGGAGCCAAGCUUGCUGUUUUCCAGCUGCUCACAGAGGAAUAAAUGUGGCUUUCCACGCUAUCUCAUGGUGCCUUACUGUUGUUGACUCUUAACUUUUCCAAAUACUCUGCAUCCUUCCUGUUAAAAUUAGAUGAGAAAGGUGAAACAAGGGUGAAUUGAGUUUCCUCCUUCUCAAACUAAAUUUAAGAGUGUAAGCCCACAUACACCUUCUCAGAAGUAAUUCCUAUUGAGUUCCAUGGUGCUGGCUCUCAGGUGGCGGAUCUGUCCAUUUUGGCUUUUCUCGGUUUCUCAUUAUUCCAGCCUGAGCUGAACUGAAUCUAGACCAGCAAAUCCUUAGUCAUGUGCUUCUGUAGUAAAGUAUCUGUCCAGUAUAUAUUAUUUCAGCUCCCACUUUAUAAAAUACUGGUUUCGGUUUAAAGAGGGAAGAGUCAAAGGGGGAUGAAAUACAGUUAAAACAGGGGGAAAGAAAACCUUUUCAGACCAGAGGCCACAUUUCCUUCUGGGCAACCUUCUGGGGGCCACAUGCCAGUGGUGCGUGGGGCCAGAAACAAAAGUGGGCAGAGUAAUAAAUGUAUUUUUAUUUUUGGAAAAUAAGCUAGUUCUACACAGUCUCACAUACCCCUUUCUCUCAUCCAUCUAGGCAAGCAAGAUACAUUCCUAGUUUAUACAUUCCAUCCAGGCAAAAACACUCAAGGUGGGCGAGAAAGCAAGUCAAGAGGAGACUUGGCCUGGGGAGAAUCUGCAAGCCCAAUAGAGAGACUUGGAGAGUCACAUUUCCAUACCCUUCAAGUGUCCCAAUUUUCCUGGGAUGUCACAUAAUUACAGAAGCCACCCUGGCUUCUGAUUGGAUCCCAGAGUGUCCCAUUCCUCCCCUCCAGUGCCACUGCUUCUGAGCUUGGGGUGGGUAAUGAGCCAGUGCUUGCAAGUGGUGCCAUGCUCUCAUGUGUCAGCUGGCUCCCGCGAGAUCACAGCACUGAAAGAUGCGUGACCCAAUUUUCAUCAGUGGAAUGUUGGAGGGUAUGCAUUUGACCCUCGGGCCUGAAGUUCCCCACCCCUAGGUUGGAGGGGGGGAAUGGAGUUAAUAUAGAGAAGGCACAAUUUGUGGAGCAGCGAUAAAGAGCUCCCCACCAUUGCCUAACAGCCCACAAAAACCUGGAACUGUCCCUGCUUGGUAAAUAGAGAAAGUUGGACCAUAAGUAUUCACAUCAAAACCUGGUAUGGCCUGCCUCUGGCAUCUCAUAGCUAAGCAUUAUCAAGCGACUUAGCACACUGAGUGGAAGGCCCAGUUGCUUUAACACCCCUCUGCUCUCUUUCCUCCCGAGGGGCAAGUGCUCGGCAGAGAAACCUCCACAUUACUGACCACAAUUGCUGUAAUUUGUUAGUCUAAUGGGGGAAAGUACCCGGCCCUUUGAAACUGGAAGUAUAAAAUAAUAUUGUGUGAUAUUUUAUACAAGCGGUGUUUGUGCUCAGAAGGGCCUCUGGUUGAGUGAGCUCUUCCUUCAGAGAGCCUCUGCAGGCUAGAUUAACUCUCCCUUAUAAAAGGAGCACUUUAUUAAUAAAUUAUAUGCCUGCAGUUGCCGUGGAGAGCGGUGUGUGGCAGGAAAGGGGGGCGGGCGGAAACGCAAAACAUUUGCAUUGCAGUGAAAAGAUUGUUGUGUGCGUAAUGGAGUUUUUGCUACCUAGGAAGUAUUCAUAGAGCUAAGCAUGGAUCAUGCCAGAAAUUAAAGAAAAAAACACACACAUGGGAUGGGCCAGCAUGUCAAUUUCAGAUUCUCAUCUUUCCAACCUUAAAUUCAGUUUUUUGUAUUUCCACAGCAAUUUACAUUUUUUAAAAUGCAAUUUUGACUAACUUACACAUCCUAUAAAGCACUUCCCCCAAAUAUAAUACAUGUGUGUAUGCUACUUUCACUAAUGCCGUAAUUUUCACUGAUGUGUGUUUUUGCUAGGCACACUCUACUCUUGUUUGAUUGGGGGGUUUUGUAUACAUUAUUACUUUGCUGGAGAUCUGCAUUUCAAAAUUCAGAGAAGUGAGAAUUUCUAAGGAUGGCCAUGGUUCAGUUAGCAUAUUGUAUUAGAAAGUGUGACUUGAGUGAGUUAUCCUUUAAAUGCAGAGUGAAUCAUAGUUAUCUCCAAUCCAAACGCUAAUACACACACACACACACACACACACACACGUGUCUUCCUAAAAAUUUUGAGUUCAGAAAUGCAUGGCAUAAGAGCAGGGCUGGUGCUGAUGGGAACUGGAGUCCAACAACAUAUUCAGAGCCAAAGGUUCCCCAUUCUUGACACAAAGUGUGGUAUGCCCCCCUCCCAAAAAAAAAUUCCUGUUUUUUAAAAUUCUAUUACAAGUGGGACCUGGAACAAAAUAUCUCUUGUCCCUUUCCAAGAUACUCCAUUCAAUUCCUUAUUCCCCUGGAAAGAAAUCAGUGCCCCUGAAAGGGACAUUCAGAGCUCUAAGAACAGAGUCGCAUGGCAUAGCAUUUGAUAUGUUUGGUUCUGCGCUGCUGAGGUGGGGCAGAGGUGGCGGGGGAGAGAGAGGGAGACAGAAACAAAUGAAAUUAAAAGAAAUCAAUCUUGCCUCACCGGUGAUCAAUAGUAAUAACAAAAGUGAGUGUUUGGAAAGCAGGCUCAUGUUUUAUUAUAAUAGGGAAUGUAAGAUCUAUAUGAAAUUAAUGCUUUUUUAACAAAAAAAAAGAGCCCAUACUUGCCCGACAAUGAGAGAUAAAGUUUAAUGGUUACAGUGUGAUUACUCAGUUAUUGGAACAGCCAGGAGUCUGUUGAAUAAAAUUGAGAAAGUAGAGUUUGGUAGCUUUUUUAAAAAGAAAAAAUAUGGGAAGGAAUGACUGCAGAUGUUUGAUGGAAAGUGUUUUAAGAUAUCCGAAAAUGAGUGGAAGAGAUUGGCUGCUUGGGGAGAGGGGUGCAAAAGAGAAGGAAGAGGUAUAUAGAGGCAGAGAUUCCUAAGUGAUAGAUUAUACAUUGUCAUACCAUAUUUGAUGUCUUAACUGGGAAAAUGUGUAGCUGAGCCAAAUGUGAAUUAAGCCGCUAUGUUCUCAAUCUCUUUGCAGGUUGCUAAGCUUAGUUCAGGCUCAGGUGUUUCAAAGUUCAAACACAGCUUAUCCACUUUGUGUUUGAAUAACAAGCUGAACAGGAAAGAUAUUUCCUCUAAGGCAGCAGGCUGGUGCUCUGCCUCUCCCUGCCCCUCCCCAAUCCACAGCAGGCUUUUCACAAGGCAAAGCAAGAAAAGAUGCGAGGGAUGAAGAGGAAGUCUUUCUCGUGGGAUCUUGCAUCAAGACUGCAGUCAGAAGCCUCAGACUGUUUGAUGGAAAUGAAGGGAGAAGAGCCAAGGACAGGCUUCUAGGAAGUCUGUUCCCGUGCUUACACACACACACACACACACACACACACACACUCCCCCCCAAAAAACCCUCUCCCCCACUCAGUUAUCAUUACACAGAAGAAAUAACAUAAUCACCAUUAUCAUUAUCAUUUUUGAACGGGCCCAAGAAACUUUACUGCAAGAAACAUAGCAACCCCACCACCACCACUCUAAAUCCAUAAUACCCAAGGCCAGAGCUAAGUUAUUUGGCACCAGAAGCAGAAAAGCCCACUAACACCUCCCCCCUUCCUUGCAGUAAAAAAUGUAGUAACAAUGACUUGUAUUGCUCAUCAAAUUUGCAGAUGACACUGAACUGGAAUGGUUGAGGGAGUUGGGUAUGUUUAGCCUGGAUAAGGGGAGAUUGAGAGGAGAUAUGAUAGUUAUCUUCAAAUAUCUAAAGGGCUGACACAUGGAAGAUGGAGAAAGCUUGUUUUCUCCUGCUCUGGAGGAUAAGACUUGAAACCAGUGGCUUUAAAUUACAAGAAAUGGGAUUCCAACUAAAUAUAAAGAAAAACUUUCUAACAGUAAGAGCUGUUUGACAGUGGAACAGACUCCUUCAGGAGGUUGUGGACUCCCCUUCAAUGGAUUUUUUUUUUAAAAAAAGCUGCUUUGGAAGUUUUUAAGGUUGGGUGGUCAUCUGUUAUGUAUGAUCUUGUUGAGAGUCCUGCAUUGCAGGGGGCUGUAUUAAAUGAGCCUCAGGGUCCCUUCCAACUCUACAUUUCUAUGAUUCUGUGAAAUAACAAGGCAUUUGCUUCCUUUCACAUUCCCAUUCUGCUGUCUGAAGCAGCUGUCUUACUUUGCUCAAUGGUAGGGAUGGUCCUUCCCUGGCAAAAUGAAUCCCUGGUCUUUUGAUAUGACUGAAGAAACCAGAAGCAGUGACAAAAAUAGAACAGAGAAUUGGGAGGGAGAGUUUUUAACCUCAGAUCAGCCCGCGAACUUUGGGUAGGGCUGCUACAUUUAUUACACCUUGAUAACAAUACAUUGGAUAUGGCGUUUUCAUAUUCAUGCGUGUGUUUGUGUGUGUUUGUGUGUGUUUGUGUGUGUGUGUGUGUGCGCGCGCGAAUGAAUUAUUGGGCCUGUAUUGUAGAUGGGGGAGCUGAGUCUGAGUGAUGCAGGUCCCCUGUCUACAUCUGUUGAAUUCAUGACAUGAAUAUUUGAACUGCUCACUUUCUGCUUCACGGUAUGUUUUCUGAGCCACUAUACAUUUUUUAAAUUUGAUGCUCAAUUUGUCAUAGCAUCAUGUGGAUAUGAGGUCAUGGUCUGUGGACAUAAGUUGCACCCACUUAGCUGGAGCUAAGCAGGUCUGGUCUGGGCGCGUUCAGACUGCAAACCUCCUGUAAACUGCCUGGAGUUCUUACAUGGGAGAAAUAUAGGAUAUAAAUGUCCUAAAUAAUAAUAAUAAUAAUUUUAUUAUUUAUACCCCACCCUUCUGGCUGGGUUUCCCCAGCCACUCAAAUAAAUAAAUAAGAUUUCAGUUGAGGUCUUUCAGAUGCUUCACUGGGUCAAUCAGGUCAUACCCCACUGUUAUCCUGUCUGUAUUUCUACCAGGGUUCACCUUCCACCCAUUUGUAGAAAAGCUCAGAAGAUUAUUCCCCAAUCAAAUCUAUAUGUGUGAACAUUCAUUUUUUUCCCACCUUUGUGGCUCUGGAAGUUUGGAGCCCUUGUGGCAAAGAGAAAUUUAGGACAAGAUAGCAGUGAAGGCCCAUGCAUUUGGCACAUUGAGAGCAGGGACUAGCUAGGACUGAGAUGAAAUUUUGGAUAUUUUGCUUGCGAGGCAAAGAACAAGAUGGAGCUCCCUCCUCAUUCCACAUACUGGCAAUUGCACAGUCCUGGGUGGGAGGUUCAUGCACUCCCCCUCCCCAGCUUCUGCUGCCUGAGGCAGCUGCCUCACUUUGCCAAAUGGUCGGGCUGGUCUGCAUGAUAAGUAUAUAUAACACAUAUAUGUUUGUACCCUUUUAAAUCAGUAUGGGUACGUUAGUUUUCAAGUUACACUGUUCAAAAAUACUCAUGAAUUUGGCUUUGAAUAAUCUUCUGGCCUUUUAAAAGCCAAAGUGGAAGCUCUCUAAUUUCAAACCAUGUACUAUUCACAAGUCUGUGCAUUUACCGGUACAUCUGCCAUCUUAAAAUAUGGACUGACCAGCCAUUCCCCAGAUCAGUGGGGCAAAAUGAGUGCUACCUCAAGGAACUCACAGUUAUGAAUUCAUUGUAUCUGUUAUCAUUUGUUUAACCUUUAUUGGUAACUAAAAAGUUGGAAAACAGGUCACUAAUGCUUUAUGCUCAUACCUUUUUAUUACCUUCAGUUUUUAUAGCAGAGCUGACACACAUUAUAGCACACAUAUUCAUUAAAUUUCUACAAAACAGUUCUGGCAAUAUAAACAGUCCAUAAAAAUUACAGAUUAAGAUAAGGCUUGGCAGGCUUCAAAGGGUAGGAGAUUCCAGAAGUGCAGCAUCUCUGGGAAGGCUUGAUUGAUGUGAUAUGUGGGAGCCGCUGGGCAAUCUGCUUUCCAGUAGCAAGUAACCCAGCAGGUCCUACUGACAUGGUUUCUUCCAUGCGCAGCCAUGUUGGGAAGGCCUGUAAACACAUGCUUUGCAUGCAAAAGGUUUAAUUUCUGGCACAUCUGCAAAGGAAGAGGAAAGAGUCCUGUCUAAAAUGAUGGGGAGCUCCUAGUUAUUGUAGACAAUGCCGACUAGAUGGAUCCAAUGGUCUGUGUAGAUAUAAGGCAGCUUUCUUCGUGAGUACAGAUGAGGCCCUCCAGGAGUGAGCCAGCAAUAAAUCACACCAAGAAGUUGGAGCUAACUUUUUAUUAGCAAGAAUGUGAUCUGCAAAGACUUCAUGGAGUGCCAGGCCUAAUGAGCAUAGCAGUUCAUCCCCCGGUAGGUCUUGCCCCACGGAUCAGUUACCGAGACUGAAAAUCCCUGCUUCCCCACAGCCAUCUAAGUUCCCCCCUCUUCAGGGUUUUCCCCAAGUAAUCAGAGAGUGUUGUUGACCCACCACCACUCCCCAGGCUCUGAGUCUUCUUCCCUUGGUGGCUCCCCAGCUCCCCACCAUUGCUCUGUGUCCAGCCAGUUCAUGACAUCUGGCAACAUUCUCAAAUUCAACCAGUGCAAAGAUGUGCACGAUUUCGGGAUGAACAAAUCUGUCAAUUGUUGUUUCUGUCAUAGUUUCUCAUCCCCCCCCCAUUUUAAUUUCUGUUUAUCCCACUUCUGCAUUAGUUGUUGUUGUUUUUAAAGUGUCUAAGUAAAAACCCAUAUGGGCAGCGACCAUUUUGUUCAUGGCUUUCACUCCUGACCCCUGCGCAUGUUGGCAGGGUGUGCAUAAGCCCACCUGGCCCCUACCCGGCCCCACUUUUGGGCCACUUCACAGUUGGCAACGAGCAUGUGCAUGUGCUGCCUGUAAAAGCUGUUUUGUCCAUUUCUCUUAAUAUGCACAUUUUUACAAACAAUUUUCCCUACAAUGCUUUUUGCAUAUUUCCCCACUAAAAUGCAUUUUCCUCACAUACAUUUCCCCAAUACUUGCUUUUUAGUACACCUUUUUGUUGGAGAACUGCAUUGCAAAAUUCAGAGAAGUGUGAAUUUUACAGAGUAGCUGCAUUUCUAUUUGAACAUUAGUUUUGGGAAGUACAAAUUGUGUAAUGAAUUUUUCUCUUAGCUCUAGAUGAUUUAAGAAAUGUAAUAAUUUCAUGACAAGAUUCCUGCCCCUCC